rnacentral:rRNA from 1 species
UACAGAGGUCCCAAGCGUUGUUCGGAUUCACUGGGCGUAAAGGGUGCGUAGGUGGCCAGGUAAGUCGGAUGUGAAAGCUCGGAGCUCAACUCCGAAAUGGCAUUGGAAACUGCCUGGCUCGAGGGUUGGAGGGGGGACUGGAAUUCUUGGUGUAGCGGUGAAAUGCGUAGAUAUCAGGAGGAACACCAAUGGCGAAGGCAGCUCGCUGGGACGUGACUGACGCUGAGACGCGAAAGCGUGGGGAGCAAACAGG